GGCCCGGUGGCGGAUAGUUUCGCGCCCGCUUCCUCUGUAGUAUAAACCUGCUUGAAACGGGUCCCGGGAGAUCCUGGUUCGACUCCAGGCCGGGUCA